UGAUCCAUAGUCAGAAAAUUUACUGCAGCUUAAACAGGAAACCCUUCUUGUUCAGGACUCUCAUAGCCACAGUUUGCAAAAAGUGCAGCUAUUGAUUAAUGCAAUAUAGUGUCAACUAGAUGUAGAUUCCUGAGGUCUUUUAUCUGUUGUAGCUUUGUCUUUUUCUUUUUCUUUUCAUUACAUCAGGUAUAUUGCCCUGUAAAUUGUGGUAGUGGUACCAGGAAUAAAAAAUUAAGGAAUUUUUAACUUUUCAAAAAAAAAA
rnacentral:lncRNA from 10 species